CUCGUGUCGUGAGAUGUUGGGUUAAGUCCCGCAACGAGCGCAACCCUUGUCAUUAGUUGCUACAUUUAGUUGGGCACUCUAAUGAGACUGCCGGUGACAAACCGGAGGAAGGUGGGGAUGACGUCAAGUCCUCAUGGCCCUUAUAGGUGGGGCUACACACGUCAUACAAUGGCCGGUACAAAGGGCUGCCAACCCGCGAGGGGGAGCUAAUCCCAUAAAACCGGUCGUAGUCCGGAUCGCAGUCUGCAACUCGACUGCGUGAAGUCGGAAUCGCUAGUAAUCGUGGAUCAGAAUGUCGCGGUGAAUACGUUCCCGGGCCUUGUACACACCGCCCGUCACACCAUGGGAGUGGGUUCUGCCAGAAGUAGUUAGCCUAACCGCAAGGAGGGCGAUUACCACGGCAGGGUUCGUGACUGGGGUGAAGUCGUAACAAGGUAGCCGUAUCGGAAGGUGCGGCUGGAUCACCUC
rnacentral:rRNA from 1 species